GACGAACGCUGGCGGCGUGCUUAACACAUGCAAGUCGAACGGAAAGGCCCUGCUUUUGUGGGGUGCUCGAGUGGCGAACGGGUGAGUAACACGUGAGUAACCUGCCCUUGACUUUGGGAUAACUUCAGGAAACUGGGGCUAAUACCGGAUAGGAGCUCCUGCUGCAUGGUGGGGGUUGGAAAGUUUCGGCGGUUGGGGAUGGACUCGCGGCUUAUCAGCUUGUUGGUGGGGUAGUGGCUUACCAAGGCUUUGACGGGUAGCCGGCCUGAGAGGGUGACCGGCCACAUUGGGACUGAGAUACGGCCCAGACUCCUACGGGAGGCAGCAGUGGGGAGGAUUGCACAAUGGGCGGAAGCCUGAUGCAGCAACGCCGCGUGCGGGAUGACGGCCUUCGGGUUGUAAACCGCUUUCGCCUGUGACGAAGCGUGAGUGACGGUAAUGGGUAAAGAAGCUCCGGCUAACUACGUG
rnacentral:rRNA from 1 species